GGAGCUGGUGGUGAAAGACCGAGGUGGUGCUGAAUCUCACGGAGAAUGAGAGUCUGCUGGUCCUGCUGAAGCUAGAAGUGGUCCAUCCGCUCCAUAAUGGCCGUCUGAGUAGUGGUCAAAGUCUGGAAAGAAGCGAGCAAGGCACGAUACUCUGGACCAGGGAUAGUAAUGGGCGGCUCUGAUGUAGGAGGAACAAUAGGUGGGGCAUCAGAUGAUGCUACCUCCGGUACUGGCUGUGGAGGGUCUGAAGUGGAUGGAGCAAGA
rnacentral:lncRNA from 1 species